UCCUGGCUCAGGAUGAACGCUAGCUACAGGCUUAACACAUGCAAGUCGAGGGCAUCAUGAGGUUUGCUUGCAGACCUUGAUGGCGACCGGCGCACGGGUGAGUAACGCGUAUCCAACUUCCCCUUAGUAGGGCAUAGCCCGGCGAAAGUCGGAUUAAUACCCUAUGUUCUUCGUCGAUGACAUCUGAAGUGAAGCAAAGGUUUACCGCUAAGGGAUGGGGAUGCGUCUGAUUAGGUAGUAGGCGGGGUAACGGCCCACCUAGCCAUCGAUCAGUAGGGGUUCUGAGAGGAAGGUCCCCCACAUUGGAACUGAGACACGGUCCAAACUCCUACGGGAGGCAGCAGUGAGGAAUAUUGGUCAAUGGGCGCGAGCCUGAACCAGCCAAGUAGCGUGCAGGAUGACGGCCCUAUGGGUUGUAAACUGCUUUUAUCAGGGGAUAAAGUGGGGACGUGUCCCCUUUGCAGGUACCUGAUGAAUAAGGACCGGCUAAUUCCGUGCC
rnacentral:rRNA from 1 species